GGGGCCUGUGCUUCCAGCGGGUGGUGGGGGGCCUGGUGUGCUGGCAUCAAGUAAGCCGACUACCUCGGCAAAGGCUUAGGGACAAGAGACCAGCAGCCUGAACUGGCUGGGGCAUCCGGAAGGCUUAGAUCUUGUGGCCAAGAGUUCAGACCGUGGCGAAGUGGAGAGUGACAUGCAGUUGGAUGGCGGUGACUGCGUGGUAUGGAAGAAAAUUCAGCUGAAAUUUGCUAGAAAAUGAGUUGUUUUGGAAAGAGACUGUAGAGAAAGGCAAAUGGAAGAAGAAAGCUUCUGUGCCCCCACAGAUACCGACUGAAAAGUGUUAGCAUGAGCAAAAGUUCCUAUCUAAUAUUAUAUGCUUUCCUUUGCUCCCAGGUCCUGCAACCCUGGUUCCAGUCUGGCAAGCAUUGUAGACCUGGCUGCUGAAGACUGACGGGGCCCAGGGUCCGCUGCCCCCACCGCCAUCACCACCUCGGAACCCAGGGUAACGCUGUCAGUCUUUGAUGAUGUCAGAAGUGGGAUCCAAAGUAGAGCUUAUAAUGACACCUAGGAGUGCUGAGUGACCAAGCAAGGUACCCACCAGGCCGAUUAUGUCCAUUGUUCUCUUGGAGCAGCUGGUCAUCAUGUGUAUUUUCACCAAGUAAAGAAAGCUUUGCAUGGUUCACUGACUGAGAACAAUAAACCUCUUCUUAAUCGAGAACCUGAAGAUCAGAUCUUCUGAGAACAUCAGAAAAAGACUUCCCUUGCCAUCCACACUGCAGCAAAACUUCAGGACCUUAAAUGCUGGGUUCAUAAUUUCACAACUGAGAAGGGACCCUCCACACUCUUGGAACUGUACACCUAGACCAAACUAAAAUACAGUCACUCUUGCUAAAUGUAACAUAAUCAAACUAAGACUUUAAGGAAACAAGCAAAUCCUAGAAAAGACCAGGUUUUUGUAUUUUUUUUCCUCCUGUAAACAGUACCUUCCAACAUAAGGAGGUACCCUCUACUCUAACACUUACAAAAAUAAUAAGAAUAAUAACCUGGAGUCCUUGUAAGGUGAAACCUUACAAAACCCACUGCUCUGCUGUUUCCUAGUGGGUUUCAAGAGGAAAUAAGUACUUUUACAGUGGUGAUGGUGAAAUCAAUGACUAACAUUUUGGUCAAUCUCCCACAAUUUAGAGAAUGACCAAAACGGGGGAAUUGUUAAAUCAAGUUUAUCCUAAAUUGAUGGGAUCAAUCAUACUCCAAACCUUGACACUGCACAAUAUACCCAUGUAACAAACCUACACAUGUACCUCCUGAAUCUAAAAUAAAAGUUGAAAUUCUAAAAAAUGAAAUUAUUCUGGAGCUUUAAGAUUCAAUGCCUCUCUGCUGGGUUUUAUACUUGCUUAGAACCUCUUACUUCUUUCUUUCUUUGAUUCAUUUCUCCCUUUUGGAAUGGAAAUGUCUAAACUAUGUGCAUUCCACCAUUUUAUCUCAGAACUAAAUAACUUUUUUUAUAGGCUCAUAACUGGACUUUGGUCUUUUAAGUUGGUGCUGAAACAAGUUAAGACUUUAGAGACUGAUGGAAUUAUUGUAUUUUGUAUUCGAGAAGAACAUGACUUUUAGGGGGCCAGGAACAGAAUGCUAUGGUUUGGGUAUAGUUUGUUCUGUUGAAACUCGUGUUGGAAUUUGAUUUCCAAUGUUGCACUGUUGGGAGGAGGAUUCCAGUGGGAGGCAUUUGAGCUAUGGGGGUGAAUCCCUCAUUAAUACACUAAUACCUUUUCAUGGGGAUGAAUGAGUUCUCCCUCUCAUGGGAAUGGACUAGUUUCUAAGAUAUUGUGAUGGCAAAAUAUUCUGGCUCCUUUAGUUUCUAUAUCUUGCUUCCUCUGUUGCCAUGUGCUCCUUUGCACACACACUCUCCUGUUCCUCUUUCCACCAUGAGUGCUAGCCAUACCUUUCCUAUUCCUUUCCUCCUAUAACCUGUCUUGCCAUGCUUCAAGUCUGAAACCCUCAUCAGAUGCAGCUGUCCAAUCUUGAACUUUUCACCCACUAGAAUUGUGAAGCAAAUAAACUUAUUUUCUUC
rnacentral:lncRNA from 1 species